rnacentral:rRNA from 1 species
GCGAAAGUUACGCUAAUACCGCAUACGAUCUAAGGAUGAAAGCAGGGGACCGCAAGGCCUUGUGCUCCUGGAGCGGCCGAUAUCUGAUUAGCUAGUUGGUGGGGUAAAGGCCUACCAAGGCAUCGAUCAGUAGCUGGUCUGAGAGGACGACCAGCCACACUGGAACUGAGACACGGUCCAGACUCCUACGGGAGGCAGCAGUGGGGAAUUUUGGACAAUGGGCGCAAGCCUGAUCCAGCAAUGCCGCGUGAGUGAAGAAGGCCUUCGGGUUGUAAAGCUCUUUUGUCAGGGAAGAAACGGUGGAGGCUAAUAUCCUUUGCUAAUGACGGUACCUGAAGAAUAAGCACCGGCUAACUACGUGCCAGCAGCCGCGGUAAUACGUAGGGUGCAAGCGUUAAUCGGAAUUACUGGGCGUAAAGCGUGCGCAGGCGGUUUUGUAAGUCUGUCGUGAAAUCCCCGGGCUCAACCUGGGAAUUGCGAUGGAGACUGCAAGGCUAGAAUCUGGCAGAGGGGGGUAGAAUUCCACGUGUAGCAGUGAAAUGCGUAGAGAUGUGGAGGAACACCGAUGGCGAAGGCAGCCCCCUGGGUCAAGAUUGACGCUCAUGCACGAAAGCGUGGGGAGCAAACAGGAUUAGAUACCCUGGUAGUCCACGCCCUAAACGAUGUCUACUAGUUGUCGGGUUUUAAUUAACUUGGUAACGCAGCUAACGCGUGAAGUAGACCGCCUGGGGAGUACGGUCGCAAGAUUAAAACUCAAAGGAAUUGACGGGGACCCGCACAAGCGGUGGAUGAUGUGGAUUAAUUCGAUGCAACGCGAAAAACCUUACCUACCCUUGACAUGUACGGAAGCCUUGAGAGAUCAGGGUGUGCUCGAAAGAGAGCCGUAACACAGGUGCUGCAUGGCUGUCGUCAGCUCGUGUCGUGA